GGAAGAUCGGUGUUGGGCGAACUGUUCGUGAACCCGGUCAGGUCCGGAAGGAAGCAGCCGUAACGAGUUCUGUUUCGGGUCAAUACUCGGUCUUCCAAC
rnacentral:SRP_RNA from 1 species